UAGUCCACGCCGUAAACGAUGGAUACUAGAUGUCGGAGGCUCUUGCCCCUUCGGUGUCGUAGCUAACGCGUUAAGUAUCCCGCCUGGGAAGUACGGCCGCAAGGCUAAAACUCAAAGAAAUUGACGGGGGCCCGCACAAGCGGUGGAGGAUGUGGUUUAAUUCGAUGCAACGCGAAAAACCUUACCUGGGUUUGACAUCCUAUGCAAUCUUAGGAAACUAAGAGUUCUCUUCGGAGACGUAGUGACAGGUGCUGCAUGGCUGUCGUCAGCUCGUGUCGUGAGAUGUUGGGUUAAGUCCCGCAACGAGCGCAACCCUUGCUAUUAGUUGCCAGCAUGUUAUGAUGGGCACUCUAAUGGGACCGCUAGCCGAUAAGGCAGAGGAAGGAGGGGAUGAUGUCAAGUCAGCAUGGCCCUUACACCCAGGGCUACACACGUCCUACAAUGGCUAGUACAGAGCGCAGCGAUACCGCGAGGUGGAGCAAAUCGCACAAAGCU
rnacentral:rRNA from 1 species